rnacentral:lncRNA from 1 species
CAGCAAUUGGCCACAGGCACACACACCCCCAAUCAGAGGCGCGCACCCCGCUCGCUCCCGGAACUGUCAUGCGGGCUGACAGCUGGCACACCCUCCUGUCGCCCUCCACCCGCCUGCAGAAAGCCCACUCCCUACAGUCACCUUGACAUUGCUCACCUGCCUGGGCCUCAGCCCAUGACCAAGGAAACUUUUGCCCUCCCUCCCCAGGAGCUCACUUACAGGCCAUCUUCAAAGGUACUGCCUACCUGAACCUGCCUUGUCCCAAAGGACACACUUCAAUCUGGGGAGAGUUUAAAGUUGUAGACAUAUCCAUUUUCAUUUAAGGAAUAUGAAGAUCAGGGAGGCAAAAUAUAGAGAUAUAGAGAGGAAAAACUGAGAGAUGAUCAGAAAUUCAGACGCAUUCGGAAUGAGCACCCUUGACCAUACCAAGAACAAAGACUCUAUAAAAAUGUGAAGUCUUAUUAUUGUUCAUCCAUGUUCUACGUGGGAUCCACCCAAGACAUUGAAAACUGUACAGAACAGGGUGAAAUUGAAUCAGAUCAUUCUGUACUCCUAACAAGGUCCACCCCAUGAGAGACUUGCAGCAGAAUUAAUGACACUGUAUAUUUUCCUCUACUAACAACAACAAGAACAACAACAACAACAAUCUAGGAAAAUCAAAGGCAGCCCGACAUGGAAAAAAACACAAAAUGAAUAUUUGGAUUACAAAUAGUGUGAUGGGAAGAACACACUGCCAAAAGUCCACCUAGUAUGUUGAAAUUACUGUUUCUAGCACAUAUAAGGUAUGAUUUUUUAAUGUUUUAAACAUUCAUUAUUGGCUACUUUAACUAUUUUUCCUUGGUAACUGCAGCAGAAAUUGAAAAAUGAUAGAAAAGCAGAAAAGAAUGGCAUAACUUAUCAGAUAUAUGUAAGUGUGUAAACUUUGGGUUUUAUUGUUUAGCUCAUCUAGUAACUUGGGAAAAUAAUAGCUAUUCCAUAAGAUUGUUGAGAAAAUUAAAUGAGAGAACACAGUUAACAGACUUAGCUGAAUGUGUAGCAUAUAGAGGGCACUCAGGCAUCCCUGGCAUACAGGUAUGAGUCUGCAAUUAACAAGGUAAUGGAAAGAGUGUUGCAGAUCUCUGACCGAAGUAUUUUCUCCUGGGCUUACAGUAUUUAUCAGCUAUCAUAAUACAAAUUUGCUGCCAAUUUGUACUGACUUCUGAAAAAUACUUUAUCCAUUGUCUUCUUACAUCAGAAUCAACUCCCUAAAUUCUUCAGCACUGGCUUUGUAAACUGGUUUCUGGUCUUUGUUUCUGUCAACUUACCUAUAAAAGGAUACAAAAACUGAAGAACAGAGAGGAGCAGAUACCCUGGAAAGCCGAAAGUUUUAUUGACCAAAGACUGAGUCUCGGAAUGUUUUGAUUGUGGAGUUUAUAGAGUUCAGGCUGAAGUUUUAUAAAAAUAACUUGCAGCAGCAUGGAGGACUGAUGAGAAAGUAGACAGAUGCUGGAAGCAGGAAAACUGAACAGCAGGUCACUGGCCAAGGAGAAUCAAAGAGCUAGAUGCUGAGAAUAAUGCAGCCAUAACGUGAAAUCUUUUUGAGACCACUCACUCUGGGAGAAAGCAACUGGCUAUGUCAUGAGGAAAUUGAAACCACCUAUGGAGAAAGGCCCACAUGGUGAGAAAGUAAAGCCUCUUCCCAAUACCAAAAUUCUGUAAGUCUGCUACGGUGACAUUUCUGGUUAGGAGUCAGAGUGGAUGGGACACUGAGCAAUAAGAAUGCAGAGACAUGAUGGCUGAAGCUGGAGCUUUUCCCUGAAGCAACCACCUGUUGGAAACUUCAUGUUGAAGAUGACUGAAUAAUAAGACAGAGGGGUCUGGGUCCCUGGUGGAUAUUCCAGAUCUGGGUGUUCGUGGAGAUAUGAGAAAGCAAUAAACUUCAAUUUUGCUUAAAUAGCUGUUACUUGGGGCAUUCUGUCAUUUAUGGACA